rnacentral:tRNA from 1 species
AUGGCUCAGGGGCAGAGCACAUGCCUGCCAUGAAUGAGGCUCUGGGUUUGAUCCCCAGU